ensembl:lncRNA
GGCUGCGUGCUGCUGCGCGCCUCGUGCCCGCCUGAGGCGGCCGUCGGGUGGCGCGCCCCGUCCGUCACAGACCGAACCUUCGCACUCGCGCUAUCGCUGUGUCCGUUACAGCCUGCCCUGCCGGCAGCGCCCCGUUCACCAACCGCAGCGUCCUAAGCCCAGCUGGACCUGAGUGGAAGAAACGUCUUCUUUCCCUCUUUUUGAAACAGAGGUUGGCAAAGUGCAGGCACGGCGUGGCUCGCUGCUUCUCCUGUCUCUGUAAGAUCCUGCCGUACUCCGGCAGCGAGCAAAGAACGGUGAUACGGUGGAGACCUUUGGUGGUGUGAUGGGCAAAUGCGACACCGAGCCGGUCUGUGAGGGCCGACACAGUCUGUACCUGCAGGGCUGCUGUGGCUCCAUGGAAGCUGCCAGGGACUUCUGAUGAGGAAACUGCUACUUCUGUGGCAAGGAGUGGAAGGGGAGGGAUAUGGAGAGCUGCUUUGCAGGACGCAGUGAGCGAUGAACGGAAGAAAAGACACUGAAGUAAUCCCCACAGAAAGAGGAAUACAUGAAACAACCCUUUUCCCUUAUUUCCCAGGCAGCAGUAUUUCUAAAGACACAUACGGAUGCUUUCUAAAAACUGCAGUGACUACUUGGAGUGUGGGUACGAAAUCCUUCGACAGCACGAAGCUGCCUGGCAAGGCUGUGCACAAUGAAUGACUGAGAGCUCAGGGAAGCAGAAAGAGGGGAGAGCAGAGAGAGCUGCUGUUGGUGUGGGAGAAUGGGAAGCCAUUGAGACAUGAGAGAAACAUGCAGUAAAAGUCCUAACCUUGGAUAACCAAUGAUAACCUUGGAGUCACCAGCUUCACCGUGCUCAACUAAGAAGAAGAAACGUUAGUUUUGAAUGUUCCUCGCUGCAGUCCUGGCUCUGCACUCAUCUGUCGGCCGUGGGCUGCAGUGUAAUCACCCCUCUGUCAUUUCCCACAGCCCUGUGAUCUAUUGCUGCACAAGCAUCUUGCUGUGUUCACGUCCUCUACUGAAUAAUGGUGGCUUCAGUUUUGUGAUGCAUGUUCUGCUCCACCAGCCUGUAACUGCAGCGCUAUCAGGAGGUGGGGCUGAUACAUCUGUCUAACUGUGUUUUCUGUUAAUAAUGCAGAUUGAACCUGCUUACUUAGUCAAACCAGUCGUCCUCACUUGCAAACGGAAGUACCCACCCAUGAUUUCUUCAGCUGCUGAGACUGCUUUUUUGGGGGUUCUUCUUUGCUCACUCACACAAAGGACACACUUAUGGAGAGAACUUCAGAAACAAGAGCCAAAGCCCCGGUAUGGGGCACGAGACACUUACUACAGGGGCUGUGCAGAACUCUUCUAUCAACAAACCAAACAACUGGAGAAGGUCCUGAGUGCUGUAGACUGAGUGUGGUUCUGGCAUACGGAGUGAGAAAUGAGAAAUGCAUGGAUCCUGUUUGCUUUUGGUGUUGCUUCAUAUGGGCCCAUCCGACAACGGACAGGGUGAUGACUCCAGGACAACCUGGAGAUGCCGGUCUCCUCUGGAAAAGCUUAGAAGAAACAGCAGUAGGCAUGGGAGUACCAUGGCUUUGCAACUGCAUUUUAUCUUCUGUGCAGUCUGUCAUUUGUCCCUCCCCAAUAUGUUUUCUCUGCCAUACCAAUCCCAUACAAAGCCAACCUUGGCAAAGAUGCUCAGGUCUGGGGUUACAAGUAAUGACAUCACCCAUUUCCUGCUGUAAAAACAGCUCUCCUUCUUUUUCAUUCACAGCAGAUUCCUUUAUAGUGUAUAACACGGAUGUUAUGAGGGCUGCUCUGAAAGUAAUGCCUCCUAUGUUAUGUUGGCCCACGAUGUCAGAAGAGGAUGUUGGUGGUACGGCAGUAAAGGUUGAGCCUUCCCAUCAAUAUUGUAUUCCAUUUUGUUGCCAUGAGACAGAAGGCAGCAGAGAGGCAAUGUGACAGAAUGGUGUCUGACAAAGAAGUGGAGAUGAAGCGAAGGUGUGUCCUUUAAUUCCUCCAUGCAGAAAAAAAAUGGCACCUACUGACAUUCAUUGAUACUUGCUGAAUGUUGAUGGAGACUGAACACUGAAUGUGAGUGCAGGGAGGAGGUGGGUGGUGCAUUUCUACAGUAGUGACAGUGGCAGUGGGUCACCUCUGCUGGUACAGACCGUUAUGAACGCAGCAUACAGGUUCUUGUUCAUCGCUGGUCAAAAUGCAUAGCUCAUGGUGGUGACUGUGUUGAAAAACAGUGUUCUGUAGCUGAGAAUUUGCUCUACCAAAUAGUGUUCAUGUGCUCUUUGUAUCUGUUGUAGUUCCCAUGGAAUAGGAGGCAUUACUUUCAGAGCAAUCUACAUCUAGAGAUGUGUGGUGGGAUCACGGCACAGCUGUGGCUGCAGGCACCCUGCAAAAGUGUUGCCAUUAAUUAAAUGUGAAAAGGGGACAGCAGCUGUAGCAAUGUCAACAUAUUCUGCUGUCAGCUCUCAAAGUCAUGUCAGCUCACGGCAAACCAAACCUCCCCAGCCUGAGAGCAAAAGAAGCAGAUGCCCACUCAGAGGAACAGCAUUCCUCUGUGAAACAAAAAGAAUUCUACCUAGAGUGGUAUGUUGAACUCUAGGUGUUGCAGUGUAGGCAGUAUUACACAGGACAGCAGCUAUCAUUGGAUCUGACUUAAUAAGAAUUUGACAAAUUAAUGUUUUCUUAUCACCAAUUCUAUUUUUAUUAUCAGUAUCUGUCUUUGUCAGUGCAUGCCCUUCACCCACCUGUGCCUCCCUGUUAUCAGUUUCAGAGGCAGCAAGGAGGUUGCCAUAUAUCACCAGCCUAGUGAUGAAAGAUUCAGAGCAGAAAAACAAUAGCAAAUGAUGCACUGUGAGAAAGGGCCAUGACAACAUGACAGUAUUCCUCUGCAGACGCACAGGCGAGGAUUUAUGGUUAGAAAUAAAAUUCAUUAGGCGGUUUAACAUUCUUAGAUGCUUGUUCUCCUUUCAGUGAUUGUCGAGCAGAGCUCGCCAGCAGAGGCUUUUGUCAUCAGGAAGAGGUGCACUUUGCUCCAGGUUAUCACGGCUUUCCCCACCGUUACUCAUAUAUGGUUUGCUGUUGCUGUUAUUGAUGGUGUGCGUCCGUGCAGCAGUCAAACAAUCUAAGUGUGUCCCUAAACAGAAAGGUCACAGCUGCAGAGGAAAAUGAGUGAGACACUUAAAAAAUAUAGGCCAGUUUAGCUCUGCCCUAGCUGCUGAUAAAGAGAGAGAGCUAAACAGCGACAGAAUGGGAUGUGAUAAUGCAAAUCACCCAGGAGGAAAUAUUUAACAUUGCAAAUCCAAUAAUAAACAGAAUAGAAAAUACAGCUAAGCUAUCUCUAACUGCAUACCAGGCAUAUAUACAGCAGGGCUCGCAAAGAACAGUGUGACAGUUUGUGAACACUUGAAGAAUAUAGCCACCAAGAAGGGAGAGGCAGAAUGCACUUGAGAAUGCCAGGGUAACAGAAAGAAACAGAACAUAGUCGUACUGCUCAGAAAUAAACUAGAUUGAGAUGAGACUAUGGAACAGCAUUCUAGAAGGAGUAUUGGAAAUCCAGAUCCUAAAGACACCUGAAGGCCAAGGAGCCAAAUGUUUGGGCACACACCUGGCCAUGUCUGGCCCUGGCACUGAGUGGCUCUGGGCGCAGAGCGGGGACUUUCUGUGACCCAGCAGUGUGCCACCUCGUUUCCUCCUGCUGCAGCCUGCUUUGCUGGGUCUCCUGCAUCAAGAAUUACUCUCUUUGUGGUCUCUGCAGCUCAGGAUGCUCCUUUUGUAAAUGCACAAAGUAUGCAUAAGAUUUGAAAAUGGAUCUCUCGAGCACAUUUAAUUGAGUGAAUGCAGCACUGCUCAGUGGAAUACACAGGUCGCUCUAAAAGUAAUGCCUCCUGUUUAUUUCCAUGGAAACCACGUAGUUAUGCUAGAUACCAAACUGUUAAUAUGCUGCUGUUAAAAUACAAGGAAUUUUUAAAAGAACCCAAUAUGACUCAUUGCCUUGUAAGGAGACUGUCUCUGUUUUUAUUGACUAACUGCAAACUGUGUCUCCCCACUGUAAUUGGAGCAGCUGAGCUGUCUUUCACCUUGUGGCCGGGGUAUUGGUUGUGUCACAAUAGGAUGAAUAGCACCAGAAUAAUGGUAGGCAAAUGUUAAUCUGUACAGUGAAUGGCAGCACUGCCAAUUAUGGUGUUUGUGGACUUCAUUGAAUGUCUGCAAGUAAUUUAGCAUCAUCUGCAUGACAAGCUAGAAGCAGGAAUCUCUACAGCGGGUGGAUUUACUGCCCCAGCCAGAAGUAUUUUCCAGUGAUCCUACUGCCAGUUAAAAAGUGAUUGGCCAUGUAAUUAUGGAAACGGUUGUGAAUAUUAGAUCAACAGGCUGACAAAAGUCUUGGUAGCCAAAUUUUAGUCUCUGGCACAAAUGAGAUUAACAAUUGAGAAGUCCACUCAUGGAGACUAACCAGAUUUCCUGUACGACAUAAGCAUUCUUUAUUAACCUUGUCAAAGGAAAAGGCCACAGGGUAUCCUGAAAUAGCAGUUCCAAGAAAACCAUUUCAUCUGUUUUUCUCUCUCUGAAUAGGUCAGUGUGUGGUGUUGCCCUGGCAGUUUGUUCUGUAGACUCUGGCAGUGUGGAAUGACAGCCAGGUCUGAGCAACCCAGACCUGGCAGGUAAGGAGGCAGGGCUGGAUCCUUGCUAAAGAGAGGUGCCUGAACCUGGAGUGGUGAAACUCCUUGGGGUUCUGGGCCAGCAGCAGGAGGUGGGUGCGAGCACAGUCCUGCACAGCAG